GCUUGUGUUUACGCUAGGUCCAGGUUUCUCCAAAGCUGUCCUCUGCCUGCCCCGUGUGAGUGCGCCUCAGUCCGCUGGGGCAGUCCAGUGUGUAGAAGGCCAAUGCCCACUGGGAGCUCUACUGCCUAGAAUACGGGAUCCAACCGGAUGGACAGAUGCUCAGUGACAACCCAUCAGUGGAGGGGACGGUUCCUGAUUCCUGACCUUCAUAUUUUUAGUGAAAGUGAGGCUUUCUAUGUGCCCGGUGCAGUGUUUGUGGGCCUGGAGACCACUGUGACUGGUAUCUUAAGGGUUUCUAUUCCUGGGAAGAAGCACCAUGACCAAAAAGCAAGCUGGAGAGGAAAGGGUUUAUUUGGCUUACACUUCCACAUUGUGAUCCAUCAUCAAAGGAAGCCAAGACAGGAACCCCAACGGAAACCUGGAGAACCCUGGACUUCCAAGGGGUGGCCCUACCCACAAUGGGCUGGCCUCUCCCCCAUGAAUCACUAAGAAAAAUGCUCUACAGGAUUGCCUGCAGCCUGGUUUUAUGGAGACUUUAUUCCAUUUGAGGCUCCCUCCUCUCUGAUGACUCGAGCUUCUGUUAAGUUGACAGGGACUUAGCCGGCACACCAGGUGACUCUAGGUUGCGUCAAGUUAACAUUUAUAACCAACCAGCACUCUGGACAAGCUACAGUGGCUUGUCAGCAUCCCCGGGAUACCUUAUAUUAUCUUGUUGAAACCUAAAAUGCAUGUAGUCAUUAUAGCUACAGCAGGCUCCAUGGAGAGGAGGUCUGCUGCUCAGCACUCUAAUAUUGGUGCCCCCAAAUGUUGCCUGCUGCAUUAGUCAGGUGACAUUUUAAUUGUUAAGGAAGUGUUACAUGGAUGCCUGUUUUGUAGUUGUGGAAAUGAGGCCUCAAGCGGCGCUGGGUCUUGCCCAAGGUUACCUCGCUAGGAAACAGAGGGAGCAGGGUUCAAACCCAGGCAAGUCUGAGCUGCCUGGUGCUCUGGUUGGUGCUCUGUCUGCUUCAGAUCACUGCUUCUCUUGUCCACAGUGGAGCCAGACUCCACCUCUUUCAGGCCUGUCAGGUGCCCAAUGCCUAGACAGUGACUCAGGCACCUUGGGGGCAGGGAGGGGGUAACGUCUGCCAACUCCUCUGUCCUGACUCUGGGAUUGAGGGCAUCAAGGCACCAGAUGAGACAGGGCCUGAGCCAGGACAGAGGCUUCUUUGCGGACAAUCUUUGGGCCGCCGCUGCCCUUGGGAAGAGUCUCCUGUCUUAACGGAGGUGUGGUAAGAGCCCAGGCCUGGCCUAAUCCUCCAUCAGGAGGAUUAAGAAGAAAGUCAGUCACCUGCCAAUUCGGCUGAGUUUCCAGACAGACAGGCACAGUGCUCCGUUCUGCUUGGCACUAGCCAGCCCAACCUGGUUGUCUCUGUGGCUAUCUCCUUUCAGUUAUGCAUCCUAGCUAGUCCACACAUCCCCGUGCUCCCACUGGCAUGCACCGACAGGCCUGGGUUGGAUGGGGUGUAAGUGUGGGAAGGGACCAACCCAGCUCCCUUGGGGCAGCCAAGAGCACCACCCAGCCUGGCUCCUGAGGACUCCCUCAACGCAAGGAAAUGCUUUCAUCCUUCACACUUCUAAAGCCAGGGAGCAAUUACCUCCUGCAGGUAGGCUCAGGAGCCAGGUGCCCAGCCUUGGGCCUUGCCUCUGCUGUGUCAGGAAUCUGUCUUUGUCUCCAAAGGUGUAUUUCUCGUCCAUCUCCUUCUGAAGCCCCACCUCCCUCCUCUGGGGGUGGCUGUUGCCACGCCUUCCGGCUUAGGUCACAGACAUCCAGAACCUUCUAGAACCUCCACGCGUUCCUUUCACUGGCUUUCCCUGGGUCCUAUCUUCCAUCUGUCCCUGUGUUCAUUGGCCCUUGGAGUGAGCUGCUUUGCCCAGUAGCCCACGUCUGUGAUUUUAUGACUUUACAUAUGGAGUUCCUUGGCAUUGCCCUAAUCCCCCAACUAGGUUUUAACUUUUCGUGUGUAUUGGAAUACUUAAUGUGCGCAUGCUUCAGGAUUCAAAAGGUACCAACAGCGUUUUGUGAAAUGCAAUAAUAAAUCUUUAUCUGAUUCUCUUGGC